rnacentral:rRNA from 1 species
UACGUAGGGUGCAAGCGUUAAUCGGAAUUACUGGGCGUAAAGCGUGCGCAGGCGGUGAUGUAAGACAGAUGUGAAAUCCCCGGGCUCAACCUGGGACCUGCAUUUGUGACUGCAUCGCUAGAGUACGGCAGAGGGGGAUGGAAUUCCGCGUGUAGCAGUGAAAUGCGUAGAUAUGCGGAGGAACACCGAUGGCGAAGGCAAUCCCCUGGGCCUGUACUGACGCUCAUGCACGAAAGCGUGGGGAGCAAACAGG